rnacentral:rRNA from 1 species
UUGACCUCGGAUCAGGUAGGGAUACCCGCUGAACUUAAGCAUAUCAAUAAGCGGAGGAAAAGAAACCAACAGGGAUUGCCUCAGUAACGGCGAGUGAAGCGGCAAGAGCUCAAAUUUGAAAGCUGGCUCCUUCGGGGUCCGCAUUGUAAUUUGCAGAGGAUGCUUCGGGAGCGGCCCCCAUCUAAGUGCCCUGGAACGGGCCGUCAUAGAGGGUGAGAAUCCCGUCUGGGAUGGGGUGUCCGCGCCCGUGUGAAGCUCCUUCGACGAGUCGAGUUGUUUGGGAAUGCAGCUCUAAAUGGGUGGUAAAUUUCAUCUAAAGCUAAAUACUGGCCGGAGACCGAUAGCGCACAAGUAGAGUGAUCGAAAGAUGAAAAGCACUUUGAAAAGAGAGUUAAACAGCACGUGAAAUUGUUGAAAGGGAAGCGCUUGCGACCAGACUCGCUCGCGGGGUUCAGCCGGCCUUCGGGCCGGUGUACUUCCCCGCGGGCGGGCCAGCGUCGGUUUGGGCGGCCGGUCAAAGGCCCUCGGAAUGUAACGCCCCCCGGGGCGUCUUAUAGCCGAGGGUGCCAUGCGGCCAGCCCGGACCGAGGAACGCGCUUCGGCUCGGACGCUGGCAUAAUGGUCGUAAGCGACC